UUUUUCAUUCAUAGGUCUCUUAUGUUUUAUAGUCAAAUUCGAAAAUGGAAAAAUUGAAAAUUGUGAUUAUUUAUUUUGGCUUUUCGAUUCUUUAUUUAACUUCAUAUGUAAAUGGCCAACAUACAUGUGUGAAAUGUGGGAUCUUAGAAAAUUGUAGAGUAAACGAUACUUUUAUGUGGAGCAACAAGUAUGACUCGCUAAAAAUAGAUUGGAAGGAACCUGGAGAAUAUACGGACCCUAGAAUCGAUGCGUGCUUGAAUCCCGGUAUGAAAAUAAAAGGUAAACUAACGGAUGUGUUAUGUUCUGGUAGUGCUGAUAGAAAAUGUCACGUAAUUCGUCCAAAAUAUAAAUAUGCGAAUCCAAUAAAAC
rnacentral:sRNA from 1 species